CCCGUCUCAUAGGGGCGAAGGGGAGCUUGAUCACCUCCCGGGGACCAAUCACUAAUCCAACCCAGAGUGGCUGGGGGGCGGCAGGAAUGGCCUGCCAAUUUGGAUGAAGCUUGUGUCCCCACUAAUAAGGUGGAAAGGAGAAAAUAGGCCGAUAGAGCGGCAAGUGCAGCAAGGAAGAGCUUGCUGGCACUCUUGCCACCCGAACUGGGAGUGGGUAUGUGCGUGUGAACCUACCCGGGACAUGAGAGAGGCUCGUUUCGUCCAAUGAGGAGUCCUGGGGUUAAAGAAAGAGGGACCAAUUAACUUCACCUUUUCCUAAACUUGAAAAGACAAACCAAAUUCUGCCCUUCAUCUCCAAUGUUUGAAAGAUCAGAGGUUCCUGUCAAGAACAUGGGUCCGUGUGUGGUUCACUCUGAAGCAUCUGUCUUCCUGUGAAAGAGCUUGCGGCUGGUGAGUGGAUACUGAGCCCAACUUCUG
rnacentral:lncRNA from 1 species